rnacentral:rRNA from 1 species
UACGGGGGGGGGCAAGCGUUGUUCGGAAUUACUGGGCGUAAAGGGCUCGUAGGCGGCCAACUAAGUCGGAUGUGAAAUCCCCAGGCUCAACUUGGGAACUGCAUCCGAUACUGGAUGGCUUGAAUUCGGGAGAGGGAUGCAGAAUUCCAGGUGUAGCGGUGAAAUGCGUAGAUAUCUGGAGGAAUACCGGUGGCGAAGGCGGCAUCCUGGACCGACAUUGACGCUGAGGAGCGAAAGCGUGGGGAGCAAACAGG